rnacentral:RNase_P_RNA from 14 species
UACAUUUGCCAAAGAAAAGAAGGAGCAGAAUAAAGUUGACAUGACAAAAAUGUGAUGGAGUGCGAGGCAUUUUUUUCUUUUUAUUGUUUUUUUAGUUUUCUUUUUCUUUUUUUUGCAAGCUUUUUUCGUUCUCAGCCCUUUUGACUUCUUUCAAAG